rnacentral:rRNA from 1 species
UAGUCAUAUGCUUGUCUCAAAGAUUAAGCCAUGCAUGUCUAAGCACAAGCCGAUUAAUGGUGAAGCCGCGAAUGGCUCAUUACAACAGCCAUAGUUUCUUAGAUCUUACUUUUCUACUUGGAUAACUGUGGUAAUUCUAGAGCUAAUACACGCGAACAAGCUCAGACCUUACGGAAUGAGCGCAUUUAUUAGAACAAAAACCAAUCGGGCUUCGGUCCGUCAUUUGGUGAAUCUGAAUAACUUUGCUGAUCGCACGGUCUUCGUACCGGCGACAUAUCUUUCAAAUGUCUGCCUUAUCAACUUUCGAUGGUAGUUUAUGCGCCUACCAUGGUUGUAACGGGUAACGGAGAAUAAGGGUUCGACUCCGGAGAGGGAGCCUGAGAAACGGCUACCACAUCCAAGGAAGGCAGCAGGCACGCAAAUUACCCACUCCCGGCACGGGGAGGUAGUGACGAAAAAUAACGAGACGGCUCGCUAUGCGGUCCGUCAUCGGAAUGGGUACAAUUUAAAUCCUUUAACGAGGAUCUAUU